UCCAAUUUUUUUUUUUUAAUUAAUUUGUUUUUUUAAAAAGCCCUCAUACUUAAGGGUAUACAUCUUACAUUAUAUCUUUUCUGCAUCUCCACUUAGAGGUGGAUAUUCCAUCCUUUUAACCAUCCCGAAAAGAGGAGAUUCAUAAAGGACGUGUUCCAAACAUGUAAAUUAUUGGUUUUUUUUUUUUUUUUAAAAGGGACAAAUUAAGCUGCAAUUAGUAUUUUUUGACAUCCUGAAAUUAAAAUACAUUUCCAUCUUAAAAAUAUGAAAAAAGUUUCUGUAAGAGAAUCUUCUUUAGGUGUACGUGUCCUAUCUGCAAACAAUUUAAUGACAUUCCAAAUAAACCUCACAGGAUUGUGACAGGCUGGCUGUCUCUAAGGCAAACCAGGAUCAGCCCUAUCUGUGACCUACCAGCUAACCUCAGCUGAUGGUGAUAUGGCAACUUAAUCAGUGACCCAGCUGCAGAGAAUCAGGAAGGACUUCUUAAAUACAACUGAAUGCAGUACAGGGAGAGAUGCUGUAAAGGAGAUGGGACACUCCUGCAUGGGAAGCCCAGUAGUUUGGGACUGGUUGUGGUUAGAGAGCGGAGCUUUCCUGUAGAGCUAACUUCUAUGGUGAGCUCCUGGAAGGGGCCAGGCAUCCAGGGAGGCAGUAGGGGAAUCCUGGGGCAGAACCAAGACAAGAGAACCAAGAAGCUCCGUAGGGGCCAGGACCAAGGGGUCAAGAAGCAGAGUACUUUGGUAGAGCCCGAGAAGGCUGAAGAACCAUAAAUGUGAGCAUUUGUUUUGGACUUUCAGUUGGACCUUUUCUUACCCCAGAAGGGGAGUGAAUUUUUAUGUAAGAUGGCAGGACAGCCAGGCCACAGAAAAAGAGCGAGGUCUUCUCAGGGCCAAGAAAAUGAUAACCUGCAGCCAAAGACAAUGAUCCCUGGCAACGCUGCACCCUGACACAAAGGAGCCGUACUCAAGAUUAACACGGCUGCUACUCUGAAACAAAAAAGAGGAGCAACUGAAGCGUAACCCUGAGGGAAAAGAGAAGCUGAGCUGCUAAAUUUCAAAAGAAUUCUGAUUUUAAAAAACCUGCUUUCCUAAAAUUACUGCAUCGUCUACCCAUCUGAAUCAGUGGGAAGGAUAACAAAACCCAGCAACCUAACAUCAAUAUGAAUUAUGUCAGACCAGAAGCUCCAGCAGUAGACCUUGAUUCUUGGCGCUUAAGGAUAAAAUGCCACUGACUUCCAAAGUCUCCCAUAUCCAAAGUGAAGAAGUUAUUUCACAUUUAUACAUUCGAUAAACUAUAAAUUAAAAAAGAAAAUGACCUCA